rnacentral:rRNA from 1 species
CAUGCAAGUCGAGCGGGGGAAGGUAGCUUGCUACCGGACCUAGCGGCGGACGGGUGAGUAAUGCUUAGGAAUCUGCCUAUUAGUGGGGGACAACAUCUCGAAAGGGAUGCUAAUACCGCAUACGUCCUACGGGAGAAAGCAGGGGAUCUUCGGACCUUGCGCUAAUAGAUGAGCCUAAGUCGGAUUAGCUAGUUGGUGGGGUAAAGGCCUACCAAGGCGACGAUCUGUAGCGGGUCUGAGAGGAUGAUCCGCCACACUGGGACUGAGACACGGCCCAGACUCCUACGGGAGGCAGCAGUGGGGAAUAUUGGACAAUGGGGGGAACCCUGAUCCAGCCAUGCCGCGUGUGUGAAGAAGGCCUUAUGGUUGUAAAGCACUUUAAGCGAGGAGGAGGCUACUUUAGUUAAUACCUAGAGAUAGUGGACGUUACUCGCAGAAUAAGCACCGGCUAACUCUGUGCCAGCAGCCGCGGUAAUACAGAGGGUGCGAGCGUUAAUCGGAUUUACUGGGCGUAAAGCGUGCGUAGGCGGCUUAUUAAGUCGGAUGUGAAAUCCCCGAGCUUAACUUGGGAAUUGCAUUCGAUACUGGUGAGCUAGAGUAUGGGAGAGGAUGGUAGAAUUCCAGGUGUAGCGGUGAAAUGCGUAGAGAUCUGGAGGAAUACCGAUGGCGAAGGCAGCCAUCUGGCCUAAUACUGACGCUGAGGUACGAAAGCAUGGGGAGCAAACAGGAUUAGAUACCCUGGUAGUCCAUGCCGUAAACGAUGUCUACUAGCCGUUGGGGCCUUUGAGGCUUUAGUGGCGCAGCUAACGCGAUAAGUAGACCGCCUGGGGAGUACGGUCGCAAGACUAAAACUCAAAUGAAUUGACGGGGGCCCGCACAAGCGGUGGAGCAUGUGGUUUAAUUCGAUGCAACGCGAAGAACCUUACCUGGC